AAAUGAAUUAAAAAUAACCAGAAAAGAGAAAAUUACUAAAAAAUAUCAAAUGAUCAAAUAAAAAUUAUUAAAAAUCAUUUUAAGAAAGUAGAAAUUAAAAGGAGAAGAAUGAAAUUGGUCCCAUAAUUUUUGAACCAAUAAUAAGAGAGAUAUGAAUUUUUGAAAUGAAAUAGAAUAAAAGAAAUAAAAUAAAAAAUGAAAUCAGAAAUUAAAAAUACAAAAAAAUGUGAGGCGUUGGAUUGAGUUCAUUAAUUGAGCUGGCACAUCAUGU
rnacentral:lncRNA from 1 species